rnacentral:rRNA from 1 species
UACGAAGGGUGCAAGCGUUACUCGGAAUUACUGGGCGUAAAGGGUGCGUAGGUGGUUUUUUAAGUCCGUUGUGAAAUCCCUGGGCUCAACCUGGGAAUGGCAGUGGAUACUGGAAAGCUAGAGUGCGGUAGAGGGUAGUGGAAUUCCCGGUGUAGCAGUGAAAUGCGUAGAGAUCGGGAGGAACACCAGUGGCGAAGGCGGCUACCUGGACCAGCACUGACACUGAGGCACGAAAGCCAGGGGAGCAAACGGG